rnacentral:lncRNA from 1 species
UUUCUUCUUCCUCUUAUUUAAUUUUUUUUUCCUAGGGAAGCGUCAUUUGUACAAAUUGCCAGUCUGCACCAGGGAGAGACCUCAGAAGGGAGACCUGGAGCCUUCCCUGCUUUUCAUGUGAGCGGAUGCCCCUUUUAUUUCUGAGCAAGGAGUAAGUGGAGAAGAAAGGAGCCCCUGUCAGCUGCGGAGGGAGACAAAUUGCUUCCCGCAGCCAGAGGUGGCUCAGCUCUAACGAUCACCCAUUCCCAGAGGGAAAGGCUGAGACUGGGGCUCGCUGGAACCAAACGGCUCCAUUCGCAACUCAACAAUAAUUCACCCUAACUCAAAGCACCAAGGCUGGGAGCCAAAAGGCACAGAAAGGGACAAUCAAUCGCACCAGGAAAUGACACGCUCCAGCACUGCUGCUUCAGCUUUCGUCUAGGGCAGGCACACGUGUUUGGUUACGCAGACUGCCCUAACGGAUCUCAAAGGUCCCUCCUGACUGUCCGAUCUCCGCUCCACGGUUACAGCCCCUCGCUGGCAUAGGCCUCUACAACGCUUCUGCUGAAGAUCUCCAGUUAGCGGCAAUUCCUCUUGCAGCUUAUUUCUACCACGAGGUUGCACACCACAUUGCUUAUAAGCAUGUACAAGUCAGUGGCAGAUAGAUUCUCCUCUCCCUGUUUGGCUUUUCUCAGCUGGCUACCAUCGAGCUGAUUUCCCCCUCCUCCUGUGCUUUGCCAUGGAGUCUAAUUGACACAUCUGUUUUUAAAAAGAGGAACAGUAGUAUCGUCUUUGCCUUCCACUGCAACAUGCACAGCUAAUGCAGCCUCUGCGGGGAUAAGACGGCACCAAGGGCAGUGAGCAUGCACACGAUCUAACGGAGCUUGCUGCUGGAGCACUACUGCCAAGCCAGCCCAGCUACAGUGUUUCUGUGGGGCCUACAAAGAAGGGGAGACAGAAAAAAAAAAAAAAACAGCACGUUAAAAAGUUUUUUGAA